CCCUUAGAUGUCCUGGGCUGCACGCGCGCUACACUGAUGUGUCCAGUAAGCACCUAACCUAUUCCGAGAGGAGCGGGUAACCUUAGCAAAGCACAUCGUGAUGGGGAUAGAUUAUUGCAAUUAUUAGUCUUGAACGAGGAAUUCCUAGUAAGCACAAGUCAUCAGCUUGUGUUGAUUGCGUCCCUGCCCUUUGUACACACCGCCCGUCGCUCCUACCGAUUGAAUGUUCCGGUGAGCUCUUCGGACUGCGCGGUCUGCAGUUUCUGCGUUCCGUGCGGAAAGUUGUGCAAACCUUAACAUUUAGAGGAAGGAGAAGUCGUAACA
rnacentral:rRNA from 1 species